UGGAAACUCUAAAGAAUCAUGUUAACAACAUUUAGAACAAGACAUGUGAGGAGAUACAUGGAGAAAAAUGAAGAAACAACAAUGGAAGAGAAGGUAAAGAAAAAAAAUUAAUGGAGGUUUAAGGAGCACCUACUUGAAGCUCUUGUGCUCUGAUACCACUUGAUGGAAGCUUGCUUGUGGAGCUUCUAUGGAGGCUGGAUCUUUGAGCUUCAAUGAGGUCCUUCAAUGGUGAUUUUUCACCAUGGAGAUGCAGCGGAAGACAAAGGAGAAGAGGUGAGAGGAGGCGCCAUCCAUUAAGGAAUAAGCCAUGGAAAAAAAGAGCUUCACCACCAAGAUGAGCCUUGGAUAAGAAGCUUGGAAGAAUGCUUCAAUGGAGGAAAA
rnacentral:lncRNA from 1 species